rnacentral:rRNA from 1 species
AAUAAAAGAAUCGAUGACAAUAUAGUUAACAUCAAAUAGUAUUUUAAAGGAGUUAUUUAAGGAUAACUAGCAAAUUUAUAAAAAAGGAGGUAUAAAACCAAAAGCCACUGUCCAAUAUCCUCUAUCCUCUAUCAUCUUUAGGGGGAGAGGGGCUGGACGGAAUAAAUAAAGUGGCGAUCCUAAGGGAAACCUUUAUAUUUAAACUUCCUGAAGUAAACCAUUUCAGUAAGGAAAGGAAAGGAAAUCAACCGAGACUCCGAGAGUAAUGGUGAGUGAAAUCGGAUUAGCCUAAAAGAUAAUUUUUUACAAUUAAAGUAAUAAUAAAAAUAUUUUAUAGUAUUUAUCUUAUGUACCUUUUUAUUUAUUUAAUAAUAAAAAAAAAGGGAAGAAAUAUUAAAUAAAUAAGUAUGAAUAAAGUAACCAAAGAAGGUGAAAGUCCUGUGUAAUUAAAAAAAUUAUCGAAUAUUAAAUUAAUAUUCUAAUAAAAAUAUAAAGUACGAUGAGAGUUAACUUGUCGGAAUAUAGGGGAACCAUCCUCUAAGGCUAAGUAUUAUAAAUUUAGCGAUAGUGAAAAGUACUGUGAAGGAAAAGUUGAAAAAGUAAUGUUAUAGACAUUGUGAAAUAGUCUUGAAUUAGUAACUCUAUAAGCAGUCGAAGUUUUUUAAAAUGACGGCGUACCUUUUGCAUAAUGGGUCAGCAAGUUAAUGGAGUAGCAAGGUUAAAAGCCCUAGCGAAAGCGACUGGACAUAAAAUUUAAUUAGUAAAACCCCCCAAAAAAACUAGUUAGAAUUAUUUAUAAUUACUAGUGUUUUUGGGGUAUUAACUAAAUUAGUGUUGGAUAAGUUACUUCUAUUAGACCCGAAGCUAGGUGAUCUUCCCUAGACCAGAUUUUAAUCUUAAAUGAUGAAUGGAUCGAACGGGUGAAUGUUGCAUAAUUCUCCGAUGAGUUUAGGGAAGCGGUGAAAUGCCAAUCUGACCUAGUGAUAGCUGGUUUUCUACGAAACAUAUGUAGGUAUGACAUCUAUACAAAAUUUAUGAAGGUACAGCACUCAAUUCCAAAUAAAUUAUAAUUUUUAAUUAUAAUCAAUGUUUAAGUUGCGGGGACGUAAAAAUCUUACCAAUGGAAGAGAAUCUCGGAAUUACAUAAAUUGAUGAUAGAUAUUCAGACUACUCAUGCUAAGGUGGGUAGUCAAGACGGAAACAGCCGAGAACACGAAUCAAGGUCCCAAAUGAUUAUUAAGUGAAAUUAAGGUAGUAGCAAAAUUGAACGCAACUGUAAAGUGAGCCUGGUAGUCGCUAUCUUUUAAUGACCGUUUGUAACAACGUAUCAGUCUUCAGAAUGUCGCACCGAAAAUUUAACGGGUCUUAAAUAAUCAACCGAUAUCGUGUUGCUUUAGAAUAGUCAAAUAAUUCUAUUCUAAAUCUAGGUAGUAGAACAUUCAGGAAACCUGAAAUUAAAUAGUGUUUCAUUAUUUAUAGGAUACUGAAGAGAUAAUGCUGACAUGAGUAACGUAAAAAGAAGUUAUAAUACUUCUCGCCGAAUACGAAAGGGUUAUAAGGAAAGGUUAAACCUCCUUAUGUUAAUGCGGCCUCUAAGGUUCAAAACCAAUGUUUUGACUGAUGAGUUUAAAACCUAAAGUUCUUUUUGAACCGGGAAAAUAAAGUUUUUUUUAAAUUAAAUAGUAAUCUUUACUGCCCCUGCCUUAAGCCACUGGCUUUGGGCAAGGGGAACAAUUAUUAUUUUAUUUUUAAUUUUAAUCUACCGUACCCUAAACCGACAGGUUCGUAGGUAGAGUAUACCAAGGCGUAGAGCUAAAAGUUGUUAAGGAACUCGGCAAGUUCUCCUCUAAAGUUAGACGAUAAGAGGAACCUAUUACCCUUUUUUUUUAAUUCUUAAAAAGGAUAUAGGUGGCACAAAAUCGGAGGCCCCGACUGUUUACUAAAAACACAAUUCAGAGCAAUGAUUAAUAUCAUAGUAUUCUGGAUGAAACUUGCCCAAUGCCAAAUAAAUAAGAGAGGUGAUAGGAUAACUAUUACUAAUCAAAUCAAUGGUUAAUAGCGGUCUUAACUAUGAGGAUCCUAAGGUAGCAAAAUAAAUUGGCCAUUAAAUGUGGUCCGGUAUCAAUAGUUUAACGAUGGUCUCACUGUCUCUACAACUUGCUCAGUGAAAUUGAAUUACCCGUGCAGAUGCGGGUUACCUCCAGGUGGACGGGAAGACCCUAUGCAGCUUUACUGUAGUUAGUCAUCAUGUUAAUCAAACCUUAGUAUGAAGUGAUUAGGGAUGUCGAUAGACGAAAGGUGAGAUACCUUAAGACUUUGGUUUCAGAUUAAAUUUACCUCUUAUUUAAUAGAUAGAGAGAUAGUUGACUAAUGGGCAGUUUGACUGGGGGGUCGCUUUUGAAAGAGUAUCAAAAUGCAUCCAUAGUUUUAAUUAAAAAAAAUAUAAGACGCUUAUAUACAGACAUAUAAAAUCAAUUUGUUAUUAAAAUUGAUGAUUAUUUAUUAUUUUUAUUAAAAAUUUUUAAGGUAUAGCUAGAUUUUUGAAAGGAGAUCAAUCAACCAGUGAUAAAGGUUGUAAUGGCGUAAUGGCUAGAGCAUGCUUAACUGAUAGACUUAGAAGUCGGACAGAUACGUAAGUAGGGCAUAGUGACCCCUCGCUAUAUUAUGGAAUAGACGGGGAUCAAUCGAUAAAAGUUACGCUAGGGAUAACAGGCUGAUAGCUGGUGAGAGUACACAUUGUCCCAGCUGUUUGGCACCUCGAUGUCGACUCAACCUAUCCUCCGGGGGCAAAAGCUCGGAAGGGUUCGGCUGUUCGCCGAUUAAAAGGUUACGCGAGUUGGGUUUAAUACGACGUGAGUCAGUAUGGUCCCUAUCUUCUGGAGGGAUAAAUAGUAAAAAGGGAGAGACCUUCUAGUACGAAAGGAUCAAUAGGCUGUGUUUCUAUAGUGUACCAAUUGUUGAAAUAAUUGCAUAAAAAAUUAAAAAUGCAUAGUUGGGUAGCCACAAACAUAUUAGAUAAGUGCUGAAGGAAUAAAUGCACGAAACUAUCCCCUAGAUACUAUCAUUAAAAUAUCUUUAGUAUAUUUUAAUUUUUUAAGAAAUAGAACAUUUCUUGAUAGGAUGUAAAUGUAAGUACUGUAAAGUAUUAAGUUUAACAUUACUAAUUUAUUAAAUAGACUAUAUG